rnacentral:rRNA from 1 species
GCAUAUCAAUAAGCGGAGGAAAAGAAACCAACAGGGAUUACCUCAGUAACGGCGAGUGAAGCGGUAACAGCUCAAAUUUGAAAUCUGGCCUCACGGUCCGAGUUGUAAUUUGUAGAGGAUGCUUCGAGCAUGGUCUGGCCUAAGUUCCUUGGAACAGGACGUCAUAGAGGGUGAGAAUCCCGUAUGCGGCCAGGUGCCUACGCUCAUGUGAAGCUCCUUCGACGAGUCGAGUUGUUUGGGAAUGCAGCUCAAAAUGGGUGGUAAAUUUCAUCUAAAGCUAAAUAUUGGCCAGAGACCGAUAGCGCACAAGUAGAGUGAUCGAAAGAUGAAAAGCACUUUGGAAAGAGAGUUAAACAGUACGUGAAAUUGUUGAAAGGGAAGCGCUUGCAACCAGACUUGCGCGCGGCCGAUCAUCCGGUGUUCUCACCGGUGCACUCGGCCGUGCUCAGGCCAGCAUCGGUUUUGGCGGCUGGAUAAAGGCCCUAGGAAUGUAGCUCCUCUCGGGGAGUGUUAUAGCCUAGGGUGCAAUGCAGCCUGCUGGGACCGAGGACCGCGCUUCGGCUAGGAUGCUGGCGUAAUGGUUGUAAGCGGCCCGUCUUGAAACACGGACCAAGGAGUCUAACAUCUAUGCGAGUGUUUGGGUGUCAAACCCAUACGCGUAAUGAAAGUGAACGGAGGUGAGAACCCUUAAGGGUGCAUCAUCGACCGGUCCUGAAGUUUACGGAAGGAUCUGAGUAAGAGCAUAGCUGUUGGGACCCGAAAGAUGGUGAACUAUGCCUGAAUAGGGUGAAGCCAGAGGAAACUCUGGUGGAGGCUCGCAGCGGUUCUGACGUGCAAAUCGAUCGUCAAAUUUGGGUAUAGGGGCGAAAGACUAAUCGAACCAUCUAGUAGCUGGUUCCUGCCGAA